CGGUGUGGACCCUGAAAACAUGGUGCUGAGGGAAUCACGACGCAGUCGGCUGCACAGGGUGCGACUCUGAUUUCAUGAAAUGUGGAACCCAUCGGGACAGGCCGGUCAGUGGUGGCCAGGGUGGCUGGGGAGGGGUUGCCAUACUCGGGGGUGACAACAGCCAGUGGCCCUGGGCGGGGUGGGGGCUGCACGGCGCACGGAUGGGCGCACCCUGCACGACCAGCUCACACUAGCUCCUUCUAUGUUGUGGGAACCGACUGCAGGACCCAGCCAGACCUGGAGCCACGCGUGUGGCCCCACAGAGGCCAGGCCGCCCCCCCCCCCAGUGCACGAGGCCACAGGGCUGGACCAGAAGCACCCGGGCCCUCGGGGAGGACUGGAACCCAGCUUCUUGCCCGACUUCCUCAAAAACCCGGAGUCCAUGUUGGAAGUGGAUCUGUGGAUCCUGCUGGCCCUGGGUCCGAGCCUUCUGGAGCCCCAGAUGUGGUCUCAUGUGCAGGCACCGUGCCAUCCUGGGCGAGCACACGUGGGUGUCAGCCGGGUGGCCGCUCCGUCUCCACUGGGCCCAGCCCUAGCGCUGGACAGUGGGGCCCUCGAGGAGGUUGGAGCCCGAGUGUCCUGCAGCCAGGCCAGGGUCCUCCCUGGGUCACCACUGAUGCCACAAAACUCAGAACUUCGUGCAUACAACUCUGGAAACCAACCGUGCUGAGCCCUCGGCAGCAGGUCCCCAGGGCGCCAAGCUUGAAGCCACCCGUCCCGGGCAGUGGGGACGAGUUCCCAUGAGGGGCACCUGCCAGGUCCAGGGACAGGGAGGCCCAGGAGGAAGUCAAGUGUGGGGCCAGGCACCAGCCACAGCUCCCGCCCUGGGCCCUGGAGGUCCCAGGCCACAACUGCCCCUCCACCUGGGGCGCCAGCACCCACUGCCCUCUAACAGUGCCUGUCCUGCCUCCGAAAGGCCCACAGCCAGACUGGUCAGCUAGGCCUUGGCAAGCACCUUCCUGGGGGCUGGGAGCAGUGGGGACUGAGUCCAGGAAGCACUGAGUUUCACCCCCUAAAUCCCUGGCCCCUUUUUUGUUUGAGGUACUUGGGUCUGAACCUAGCCUUUGCAGUAAGCUAUAUCCUCAUCCCUUUUUUUUUAACCUUGAUACAGUGUCUUGCUAAUUUGCUGAGCUGCCAGACUGGGCUCCAACUGGGAUCCUCCCGCCUCAGCCUUCUGAGAAGCUGGGAUCACAGCCAUGGCAGGCCAGCUGUGGCAGCUCCCUGAAGGCAGGCGCUCACAGGAGCUGGGCAUCGUGCCAGGAGCUUUCUGGAAGGAGCGCGUGGUGCUCAAUGCUGUCUGCGUGAGAGCAGGGAACGAGGGCCAGGAAGCAGGUGUGCAGCAGGGCGCUGCAGUAGGCAGGAACACGGUCACUAACAAGGACCAGGCGGGGGCGGGUGCUGCGUGGGCUACGCAAGAUGACGGUCAUGCGUCAUCUCGUUCCAGCAAACAUAUGCAAUGUUGUAUACGGAUGUGUUUACUAUUUCGGGCAAAAAUCAGUAGCUUUCCUACGUAAGGGUGACGACCCACUGGAAACGGAAGAAAAAGCCCCUUACACUGAGCUCCAUCCCCAGCCCCUUUAUUCUUUGAGACAGGGUCUUGAUAAAUUGCCUGGGCUGGGCUGGAACCUGUGAUCCUCCUGCCUCAGCCUCCCAAGCAGCAGGAAGGCUUCAUCACCACACCCAGCCAUGGUUGGAUUUUUAGCGGGUCUGGCAGCCCUUUGCUGGAUGAAUCCCAUAACCCAAAACACAGGGCUGCAGAGGGCCAGGCUGAGACACCCAUUUUGGCUUUGAAGAAUGCGUUCCAUCCUCUGGAGAGGGGAAAGUCCACACGCGGGUGGCAGCUAGGAGGUACGCUCCCCGCCCGUGCCCCUCCUGCAGGCUGAGGGUCCCCAGCCCCUGGGGGAGGCAGCCCUGAGCCUGCUGCUGCCCCUCCUCCAAGGACCCAGGGGUGACCCUGCUGAGGACGACGGGCCCCGCCACCCGGCCCCGGAACCUUCCACAAACCCACGUCCCGAGCAAGCGGGCACCAGAUGGUGCCACCUGCCUGCCACCCACCGCCAGAUGGAGCUGCCACGCACCCCGCACUCUCGGCUCUCUGGCCUCCCCGGUGUGGGCCCAGCCACCUGGCUCCCUGCGGGACUCGCUCCAGGAUGGGCCUGCCGGACCCACCAUCCCAUCUGAGUCAGAGCACCCCGUCGACAUGUCCAGCUGCAGAUCCCAACACAGUGGCUGGCGAGUGCAACCCCUAUGCUGGGGCCCUGGAGUGGAGCUCAGCCACCAGGACUCCUUCCUGCAGUGUUGCUGAGGGGCAGCAAGCAGGAGCACCCUGAUUGGCUGGUUUCCCCCCUGGAUGCGGCAUCCAGGCCACAGUGGUCAGGGCUCCAGACAGUUGAAGCCCGAAGAGCUCAGGGAGGCGGGGUCGGCCCAGCAGAACCCGGACUUCCGGGCAGGGGUGGCAGGGGACAGCGCCAAAGAUGCCCACGUGGGAUCCAACUGAGCAAGCCAAAUGGACUCAGAACGCCCCAGCCAGGCCGAUCCUGCAACCUUUGAUGGACAGCACAGAGAGGACCUGGUCAUGGGACCCAGCUGUACCCACGGCCUGGAGACGGGGCUACCAUGGGUCCCCACAAAUCCUUUGAAAGGGUCUGCGUCAGCAGCGAAGGCCCUGAAAGAGCAGGAGUCCCCGGCAGGGGACAGGCCGGUGUCCACAUCCACAAGCCAGAGCCCUGCCCAGUGUGCAGUGGAUGGUGUCACAGCCAGCCUUGCCACCCCAGGACUCUGAGUCUGCAGUGCUGGUGCCCGUCCCCAGGAGAGAGCUGGUGUCCCCACCAUGGGCUUUGCUCCAUCCCUGCCCAGGCGUCUGUUAUCACAGAUUCCGAGUCGCUGCGCCUGCCCAGGGCUGGCUGGGGUGCAGACACUGCCGUGGCUUCUGAGGGUGGCGGGUCCAGGGGUCCCCGGCCCAGGAGGGAUGCGUGCUGGAUCAAGGGGCAGCAACCCCACGGCUCCUUCCAGUAGUGGGGCCGGGGAAGCUGUCCCAUCCCCACUCCCCCUGCCGUCUCGGCUGUGCGUGGACGGUGGCUGAGUGGACGUCACCGACGGAGCUGUGCACACAGAUCCACAGAGGUGGGCACCGUGGCACAUGGAAGGCAGAACUCGCAGGCCAGCUCUGCACACCACGGUCAGCAGAUGACACUAACAGUGAUCCCAUGCCACCCGGGGGACAGUGAUCACCGUCUCGGUCACCCGGGGCGUGCUGUCCAGGGAGCCUGUCUACACCAAGCCCCGCUGGGUGUGUCCAGCGCUGCCCAGCCCAGGCCGGCACCAAGGCAGGGGUGGGGUCUCCCGGGGCCUCUGGCCUUGGGUGUGGGAACACAGCCUUUCCGGGUGCAGGACUCAGGACGGAUGCUUCAGACAGGAGAAACCGGAGUGCACAGUGCAGGGCUCACCCUGGCCGCUCCAGUCCCUUCUAACCUCAUCCCCCGAGUGGCCAAGUGUGGUGAGGUUUCCUGGAGUGUGGAGUAAAAAAGGAAUGACUUGAAAGAAACGGAAGACAAUUAGACAAGAGGAAGGGGGUCUCGGGAAGGAGAGGGAGGGUAAUGAGGGGUGGAUAUGACCAAAAUAUGUUAUAUGCAUGUGUACCACCACGAGGAACCCCAAGGAAAAAGAACCAAUGCAAAAAAAGAGGAACUAGUGAGAUUAGUUCACUUUGCAUUCUCUUAUUUCCCAUUGUGAAUACGGAUAUGAUGGCUGGAGCUGUGGCAACUACAUUGUAACCAUGAAGAAAGGUCAAUAGAAUCAUGACAUUCCUGUAAUACCUGAGCCAUGGAUGUUGAGUCACUGCCGGCAGCUGUGCACUCAAACUGCUUCUCGAGGGAGAAAAAUAAAGUCCUACUUAUCUGA